UAGGGAAUCUUCGGCAAUGGGGGGAACCCUGACCGAGCAACGCCGCGUGAGUGAAGAAGGUUUUCGGAUCGUAAAGCUCUGUUGUUAAGGAAGAACGAGUGUGAGAAUGGAAAGUUCAUGCUGUGACGGUACUUAACCAGAAAGGGACGGCUAACUACGUGCCAGCAGCCGCGGUAAUACGUAGGUCCCGAGCGUUGUCCGGAUUUAUUGGGCGUAAAGCGAGCGCAGGCGGUUAGAAAAGUCUGAAGUGAAAGGCAGUGGCUCAACCAUUGUAGGCUUUGGAAACUGUUUAACUAGAGUGCAGAAGGGGAGAGUGGAAUUCCAUGUGUAGCGGUGAAAUGCGUAGAUAUAUGGAGGAACACCGGUGGCGAAAGCGGCUCUCUGGUCUGUAACUGACGCUGAGGCUCGAAAGCGUGGGGAGCGAACAGG
rnacentral:rRNA from 2 species